rnacentral:rRNA from 1 species
UACGGAGGGGGCAAGCGUUGUUCGGAAUUACUGGGCGUAAAGGGCGCGCAGGCGGCUGCUCAAGUCAGGCGUGAAAGGCCUGGGCUCAACCCGGGAAUUGCGCUUGAGACUGGGCUGGCUUGAGUGCGGGAGAGGAUGGUGGAAUUCCCAGUGUAGAGGUGAAAUUCGUAGAUAUCGAGAGGAACACCGGUGGCGAAGGCGGCGCUCUGGACCGAGACUGACGCUGAGGCGCGAAAGCGUGGGGAGCAAACAGG